rnacentral:rRNA from 1 species
CCUACGGGUCGCAGCAGUGAGGAAUAUUGGUCAAUGGGCGCGAGCCUGAACCCGCCAAGUCGCGUGAGGGAAGACGGUCCUAUGGAUUGUAAACCUCUUUUGUCGGGGAGCAAAAGACGCCACGCGUGGCGUUCCGAGAGUACCCGAAGAAAAAGCAUCGGCUAACUCCGUGCCAUCAGCCGCGGUAAUACGGAGGAUGCGAGCGUUAUCCGGAUUUAUUGGGUUUAAAGGGUGCGCAGGCGGAAGAUCAAGUCAGCGGUAAAAUUGAGAGGCUCAACCUCUUCGAGCCGUGGAAACUGGUUUUCUGGAGUGAGCGAGAGGUAUGCGGAAUGCGUGGUGUAGCGGUGAAAUGCAUAGAUAUCACGAAGAACUCCGAUUGCGAAGGCAGCAUACCGGCGCUCAACUGACGCUCAUGCACGAAAGUGUGGGUAUCGAACAGGAUUAGAUACCCUAGUAGUC